rnacentral:tRNA from 1 species
GCCGACGUAGCUCAAUGGUCAGAGCAGCCGCCUGUCGAGCGGAAAGGUCGCGGGUUCGAGUCCCGUCGUUGGCGC